UACAGAGGGUGCGAGCGUUGUUCGGAAUUACUGGGCGUAAAGCGUGCGCAGGCGGUGAUGUAAGACAGUUGUGAAAUCCCCGGGCUCAACCUGGGAACUGCACCUGUGACUGCAUCGCUGGAGUGCGGCAGAGGGGGAUGGAAUUCCGCGUGUAGCAGUGAAAUGCGUAGAUAUGCGGAGGAACACCGAUGGCGAAGGCAAUCCCCUGGGCCUGCACUGACGCUCAUGCACGAAAGCGUGGGGAGCAAACAGG
rnacentral:rRNA from 1 species